UACGUAGGGGGCAAGCGUUGUCCGGAUUUAUUGGGCGUAAAGAGCUCGUAGGCGGUUUGGUAAGUCUGGUGUGAAAUCUCCACGCUCAACGUGGAGGGGCCACCCGAUACUGCCAUGACUGGAGUCCGGUAGAGGAGUGUGGAAUUCCCGGUGUAGCGGUGAAAUGCGCAGGAUAUCAGGAGGAACACCGGUGGCGAAGGCGGGU
rnacentral:rRNA from 1 species